GGAGAGAUGGCUGAGCUGGUCGAAGGCGCACGACUGGAAAUCGUGUAACGGCUAAUACCCGUUCAAGGGUUCGAAUCCCUUUCUCUCCGCCA
rnacentral:tRNA from 1 species